rnacentral:rRNA from 1 species
CAGCCGUAAACUAUGCUCGCUAGGUGUCAGGCAUGGCGCGACCGUGUCUGGUGCCGCAGGGAAGCCGUGAAGCGAGCCACCUGGGAAGUACGGCCGCAAGGCUGAAACUUAAAGGAUUGGCGGGGGAGCACAACAACGGGUGGAGCCUGCGGUUUAAUGGACUCAACGCCGGACAACUCACCGGGGACGACAGCAAUAUGUAGGCCAGGCUGAAGACCUUGCCUGAAUCGCUGAGAGGUGGUGCAUGGCGUAGACGUCU